AAUAACCGUACCCAGCCUCUGUUCGUCCCAGGAAAGUUAGCUGUCCCCGUGCUCAGGUGGGCGGGCAAUUAACCUGGGUCUUCUCUCCACGUGGCAGGUACAGAGGAUGACUUGCCAGGUGAGGUCAUUAAGAGCGAUUACCUGUGCUCCUCUGAAGGGCCUAAUUACACACCGUCGCCAGCAGUGUGCCCGACAAACUUCAAACUGCCGACUGCUUGCGACGCGUUCUCGACCUGUUUACUUGCUUUCCGCUGGUUUGUGGCGAAGAAGCGACGAACUGACAAACAACAGGGAUAGGAAUAGACACCACCUCCACCACCAUCACCACCACCGCCAUCAACCCAGUAUA